CCAGGUGUCUCUCUCAGGUGUCUCUCAGGUGUCUCUCAGGUGUCUCCAGGUGUUUCCAGGUGUCUCUCUCAGGUGUCUCUCAGGUGUUUCCAGGUGUCUCUCUCAGGUGUCUCUCAGGUGUUUCCAGGUGUCUCUCUCAGGUGUCUCUCAGGUGUCUCUCAGGUGUUUUUUCCCUGUUAAAGGGUUUUUUUGGGGAGUUUUUCCUGAUCAGCUGUGAGGGUCAUAAGGACAGAGGGAUGUCGUAUGCUGUAAAGCCCUGUGAGGCAAAUUGUGAUUUGUGAUAUUGGGCUUUAUAAAUAAAAUUGAUUGAUUGAAUUGAGGUGUCUCCAGGUGUUUCCAGGUGUCUCUCAGGUGUUUCCAGGUGUCUGUCGGGUGUCUCUCAGGUGUUUCCAGGUGUCUCAGGUGUCUCUCAGGUGUUUCCAGGUGUCUCUCAGGUGUUUCCAGGUGUCUCUCAGGUGUCUUU